GAUGAACGCUGGCGGCGUGCCUAAUACAUGCAAGUCGAGCGAACAGACGAGGAGCUUGCUCCUCUGACGUUAGCGGCGGACGGGUGAGUAACACGUGGAUAACCUACCUAUAAGACUGGGAUAACUUCGGGAAACCGGAGCUAAUACCUGAUAAUAUCUUGAACCGCAUGGUUCAAUAGUGAAAGACGGUUUUGCUGUCACUUAUAGAUGGAUCCGCGCCGCAUUAGCUAGUUGGUAGGGUAACGGCUUACCAAGGCAACGAUGCGUAGCCGACCUGAGAGGGUGAUCGGCCACACUGGAACUGAGACACGGUCCAGACUCCUACGGGAGGCAGCAGUAGGGAAUCUUCCGCAAUGGGCGAAAGCCUGACGGAGCAACGCCGCGUGAGUGAUGAAGGUCUUCGGAUCGUAAAACUCUGUUAUUAGGGAAGAACAAAUGUGUAAGUAACUAUGCACGGCUUGACGGUACCUAAUCAGAAAGCCACGGCUAACUACGUG
rnacentral:rRNA from 1 species